AAAAACAUGUCCUUUUGUUUAUUUAUUUAAGGUCUGACCUGCCCAAUGAGGAAUUGAAUGGCCGCAGUAUUCUAACUGUGCUAAGGUAGCAUAAUCAUUUGUCUUUUAAUUGAGGGCUGGAAUGAAGGGUUGGACGAGGUAUUGACUUUCUUUAAUUUAAUUUGGUGAAUUUAAUUUUUGAGUUAAAAAGCUUAAAUUUAUUUAUGGGACGAGAAGACCCUAUAGAUCUUUAUAGUUUUAUACUUUGGUAAUUUAGGGAUUUAUUUAUUUUAAGUAGAUUAACUAUUUUGUUGGGGUGACUGUAGAAUUUGAAUAACUUCUAUUUUUUAUUUUCAUUAAUUAGUGUUUUUAUGAUCCAUAGUUUAUGAUUAGAAGAUUAAGUUACUUUAGGGAUAACAGC
rnacentral:rRNA from 1 species